ACUCUCCACUCCUUCCACCACUCACUCACACUCCUCUCCUACCUCUCCCCCACGAAAUCCUGCUCCACCUAGCUACCAUGGCCGGCCAUGGCCAUGAAAACGAGCCAAGAUGAAGCUCCCCUUCUUCCUCAAGCUCAUCCUCACCAUGAGAGCAUCUCUCUCACUCUCUUCUCCCCCAACCCUAGCUGGUUUCCUCUCCUUUUCUUCUUCCUCCAUUGCUAAGAUUGGAUCUUGAUGCAGGUGCAUGCUGGUCCAAGCAUGGAGGAGGUUGAGCAAUCCUCAGAUCUGAAGUUCUUGAGCAAAAUCCAAAUCGAGUGAUUCAAAGUUCUACAGAUAGGUAUUGAAAAGAACUAUAACUUGGCAUUGGUCUCAUCCUCAAAUUCGUUACGGAUUUUGCAUGAUCAAGAUCUGGUCAGAUCUGGCUUUGUCGAAUUAAACCAGGAGCUUGGAAACUAAUUUUGGAGUGAAUCAAGUUGGGGGAUAUUUGGUUUAUACCAUGGUGAUAACCGAGAGAGGCAAUUGCUAAGUUGUGAUGCACUCAUGCCUCUACUGGAUGCGAACAAUUCCGGAGAAGAAGAAGAAGUGGAAUCGGACGAGGAUUUUAUUUAUGAUGUUGGGAUUCUUAUAUUGAUGGAGUUGAAGAAGUCCGGGGACAAAUAAGCCAAGGCAAGCCAUCUUUUGAUCUCUGAUUUGGUGUCUAGUU